AUACUUACCUUAAGACGUCAGAGGAGAUCAAGAAGUCCUUUUGGCCAAGCAUGUCUUUCUAGAGUGAUGCCCGUUUUUUUCAGAAGGCGGGUUCGCUCGCCAGGUCUCCAGUAGACUGCACAUACUUGCGAAAGACGUGUUUGCUGACGUUUCGUUUCCUCGUUCCGCUAUCGUGCUGUUAUUUCUAAGAGGUGGUGGUACGAUAGUCGGAGCCCUUUGUUUCUUCUGCCUGGAGAAGUAUGAUGCUGAUUACAAGUCAGCGUUGGGGAAGCUGGAUGUGGAUCUUGGCCGUUUUAAGUACCCUGGCAUCAGUUUUAUGCGAUGGUCGAUUCCUGUGCGCGUUUUUUGCCUUGAAUUGUUCAGGGUUUGCUCUCGGGCAAAUUAUUGGGCUUUUUGGAGCAAACUACAAGCAUAGAGAAGGUGCACCAUUGCGAAGUUUGGGUAUAGGACAAGUCUUCAUUUGGUAGAGACGGGUAGGUCUUAUAAUUUUUGAUGUUCAUUCUU
rnacentral:snRNA from 1 species